rnacentral:rRNA from 1 species
UACGAGGGGGGCAAGCGUUAUCCGGAUUCACUGGGUUUAAAGGGUGCGUAGGUGGGUUGAUAAGUCAGUGGUGAAAUCCCCGAGCUUAACUUGGGAACUGCCAUUGAUACUAUUGAUCUUGAAUACCGUGGAGGUCAGCGGAAUAUGUCAUGUAGCGGUGAAAUGCUUAGAUAUGACAUAGAACACCAAUUGCGAAGGCAGCUGGCUACGCGAAUAUUGACACUGAUGCACGAAAGCGUGGGGAUCAAACAGG